rnacentral:rRNA from 1 species
GAUGAACGCUGGCGGCGUGCCUAACACAUGCAAGUCGAACGGGAUGCGUAUCGGAAAGCUUCGGCCGGAAGAUACGUUAUCUAGUGGCGGACGGGUGAGUAACACGUGGGUAACCUGCCUUAUGGAGGGGGAUAACAGAGAGAAAUCACUGCUAAUACCGCAUAAGCACACAGUACCGCAUGGUACAGGGUGAAAAGAUUUAUCGCCAUAAGAUGGACCCGCGUCUGAUUAGCCAGUUGGCAGGGUAAAAGCCUACCAAAGCAACGAUCAGUAGCCGAUCUGAGAGGAUGACCGGCCACAUUGGGACUGAGACACGGCCCAAACUCCUACGGGAGGCAGCAGUGGGGAAUAUUGCACAAUGGGGGAAACCCUGAUGCAGCGACGCCGCGUGAGUGAAGAAGUAUUUCGGUAUGUAAAGCUCUAUCAGCAGGGAAGAUAAUGACAGUACCUGACUAAGAAGCCCCGGCUAACUACGUGCCAGCAGCCGCGGUAAUACGUAGGGGGCAAGCGUUAUCCGGAUUUACUGGGUGUAAAGGGAGCGUAGACGGAGUGGCAAGUCUGAAGUGAAAACCCUGGGCUUAACCUGGGGACUGCUUUGGAAACUGUUAAUCUAGAGUGUUGGAGAGGUAAGUGGAAUUCCUGGUGUAGCGGUGAAAUGCGUAGAUAUCAGGAAGAACACCGGAGGCGAAGGCGGCUUACUGGACAAUAACUGACGUUGAGGCUCGAAAGCGUGGGGAUCAAACAGG